UACGUAGGGUGCAAGCGUUAAUCGGAAUUACUGGGCGUAAAGCGUGCGCAGGCGGUUUUGUAAGUCAGAUGUGAAAUCCCCGGGCCUAACCCGUGGGAACGUGCGUUGAAAUACUACAAGGCUAGAGUGUGACAGAGGGGGGUGGAAUUCCACGUGUAGCAGUGAAAUGCGUAGAGAUGUGGAGGAACACCGAUGGCGAAGGCAGCCCCUGGGUUAACACUGACGCUCAGGCACGAAAGCGUGGGGAGCAAACAGG
rnacentral:rRNA from 1 species